UACGUAGGCAGCGAGCGUUGUUCGGAGUUACUGGGCGUAAAGAGUGCGUAGGCGGUUUUCUAAGUUUGGUGUGAAAUCUCCCGGCUUAACUGGGAGGGUGCGCCGAAAACUGGAAGGCUUGAGUAUGGGAGAGGUAAGCGGAAUUCCUGGUGUAGCGGUGGAAUGCGUAGAGAUCCGGAAGAACACCGGUGGCGAAGGCGGUCUGCUGGGCAGUUGCUGACACUGAUGCGCGACAGCGUGGGGAGCAAACAGG
rnacentral:rRNA from 1 species